rnacentral:snRNA from 1 species
AACCAGUGGCAGUAUCAUAGCCAAUGAGGUGAAUCUGAGGCGUGAUUAUUGCUAGUUGAAAACAUGCACUUAAAGUGCUUUGCUGAAUAGCAGUAGGGUUCAGCACAUGCUUAAAGUUUAGCAUGUGCUUCUGUGC